CCUACGGGAGGCAGCAGUGGGGAAUUUUGGACAAUGGGCGCAAGCCUGAUCCAGCAAUGCCGCGUGAGUGAAGAAGGCCUUCGGGUUGUAAAGCUCUUUUGUCAGGGAAGAAACGGUGGAGGCUAAUAUCCUUUGCUAAUGACGGUACCUGAAGAAUAAGCACCGGCUAACUACGUGCCAGCAGCCGCGGUAAUACGUAGGGUGCAAGCGUUAAUCGGAAUUACUGGGCGUAAAGCGUGCGCAGGCGGUUUUGUAAGUUUGUCGUGAAAUCCCCGGGCUCAACCUGGGAAUGGCGAUGAAGACUGCAAGGCUAGAAUCUGGCAGAGGGGGGUAGAAUUCCACGUGUAGCAGUGAAAUGCGUAGAGAUGUGGAGGAACACCGAUGGCGAAGGCAGCCCCCUGGGUCAAGAUUGACGCUCAUGCACGAAAGCGUGGGGANCAAACAGGAUUAGAUACCCUGGUAGUCCACGCCCUAAACGAUGUCUACUAGUUGUCGGGUUUUAAUAACUUGGUAACGCAGCUAACGCGUGAAGUAGACCGCCUGGGGAGUACGGUCGCAAGAUUAAAACUUCAAAGUAGUUAGUUCGGACGNGNGAGAGCGACGACGACGACGACGGAGGAGGAG
rnacentral:rRNA from 1 species